UUUGCUUGUAGAAUCAGAGUCAUUAAGGUUGGAAGUGACCUCCAAGAUCCCCAAAUCCAACCACCAACCCAUCCCCACCGUGUUUGCUCGUAGAAUCGGAGUCAUUAAGGCUGGCAAUGACCUCCAAGAUCCCCAAAUCCAACCACCAACCCAUCCCCACCGUGUUUGCUCAGAGAAUCGGAGCCAUUAAGGCUGGCAAUGACCUCCAACAUCCCCACAUCCAACCAGCCCAUCCCCACCAGGCUUGCCAACCGUGCUCAUGUUGUGUCCCAUACAACCUCUCCAAGCAGCGCUGGCAGAAGCCGUGGCUGAGCUUUGCUCUUCAUUGUUAGCCCGCAUCCCAUCCCCCUACGAAUUCCUGCUCUUUACUUUCCAACUUGGCCGCUCUGGGUGUCUUUGGCAUCCUUUCCGUUCGGGUUCUCCCCCGUCCCCCCACUCAGCGUUGCUUUGGGCAGUCCAACCACCGUCGCCGGGAGGAGGAGGAGCUCCUGAAGCACAGCUGUGCUCCCUGGGGUCACUUUGCUGGAUUCCCACUCUGCCCUCGUAAUUCCCACCCAUCAUUUGGGUUGGAAGGGACCUUCCAAGGUCUUAGAAAGGCCCAGGUUGGAAGGCACCUCAAGGAUCAUCAAGCUCCAACCCCCAUCUGGUCCAGCACCCAAACUCUACCCGGCGCCUUGGAAAGCAGCGUUCUUUUCCCCUUGCUGCUCCUUGGGGGAGCGUUGUUCACGUUCUUUUGGGCUGGCAGCAGGGGCAGAUCCUCAGCAGAGCUCAGCGUCAUCCAGCGAGCAGAACGGUGCCCAUUGACACAUCGCUGUCACUGAUGGAGGUGUGAGGGGGGGUCGGGCUCACAGGCUUGUGUGAACACGGCACGAUAAAAGCCUCUUGCAAACGACGUGUCUUAUUGAUUUAAGGAGAAAAAAACCCAAAAAAACCCAGGUCUACGUUACUGGCAAAAAAAGGGUGAUCAUGUUAAUUCAAUCACGGCGGGCUCAGGAGGACAGGAGUCCUUUCGUAUUACCGUAACUGGCCAUGUGCAGCAAUAAGAGUGUCAGGCCUUGUCAGAGCUGACGGCUGUUGGCACUGCGCAAUCCCGGCAGGUGCCGCGGGCUGCUCCCUGGAGCACACGCUGGCUCUCUGGUGAUGGAACACAGCCGUUGAAGAGGUGGGACCCGCCGUAGGCUGGAGCAUUUCCAGCCUCCCCUUGCUGGGAUUCAGUUUGCUUCACCUGAAAAGUGAGCCGAGAGGGAUUCGUCUGUGCUCCAGCGUCAGCGUGGGCUCUGCGCUGCUGGGCUGGGAGGGACCCAGGAGGGGCCGGGAUGACCCGGAGGGAUCCAGGAGGCAUUGAGGAACCCUCAGUGAGAUGAGUUCUGAAGCUGUUCGAAAUUGAGAAGAGCUCUGGGAGACCGGAGGUGGCUUUUUGCUGGUGGGAAUGGUGUUCUGUGCGUGCCGGGCUGAAGCUGUGCUGACUUCGUGCCCUUCCGCUUGGUUGCCACCUUCGCCAUCUUCAGGGCAGGGACAGAGGAGGAUAUAAGGAUGGUGGGCAUUCCUUGUCCCACUCGCAGAGGUUCUCCCAAGCUUCUCUGCGUCCAGGCUUUGGAGAAAUGCAGCUCUCUGGGUGCCCAUGUGGGCUGCUGGUGAAGUGAGGUCCAUUUUGCGUCUCUGGGG
rnacentral:lncRNA from 1 species